rnacentral:rRNA from 1 species
GAGCUAGCGCUUCCCCUACAUCCUGCCGCGAACCGUGCUACCAUUAGUUUGGUGGCGCCGGGGAUCGGCUCGUUUACUUUGAGAAAAAUAGAGUGUUCAAAGCAGGCCACACGCCUUGAAUAAGUUAGCAUGGAAUAAUAAUAAAGGACUUCGGUUCUAUUUUGUUGGUGUUCGGGACUGAAGUAAUGAUUGAUAGGGACAGUUGGGGCGGUCAGUAUUCCAAAGCGAGAGGUGAAAUUCUUAGACCUUCGGAAGACUAACAGCUGCGAAAGCGUUCCGCAAGGAUGUUCCCUUUGAUCAAGAACGAAAGUUGGGGGAUCGAAGACGAUCAGAUACCGUCGUAGUCUCAACUAUAAACUAUACCAGCUAGGGAUCGGCCAACGUUAAAUUAUCCGACUUGGUCGGCACCUUAUGAGAAAUCAAAGCAUCUGGGUUCCGGGGGGAGUAUGGUCGCAAGGCUGAAACUUAAAGGAAUUGACGGAAGGGCACCACCAGCCGUGGAGCCUGUGGCUUAAUUUGACUCAACACGGGAAAACUUACCAGGUCCAGACAUAGUAAGGAUUGACAGAUUGAUAGCUCUUUCUUGAUUCUGUGGGUGGUGGUGCAUGGCCGUUCUUAGUUGGUGGAGUGAUUUGUCUGGUUAAUUCCGUUAACGAACGAGACCCCAGCCUGCUAAAUAGCGCGGUUGAGCUUUGCUCGGCGCGAGCUUCUUAGAGGGACUAUGAUGCGCGAUAGCACAUGGAAGUUUGGGGCAAUAACAGGUCUGUGAUGCCCUUAGAUGUUCUGGGCCGCACACGGGCUACACUGGCGCCUGCAACGAGCAUAUCAGCUGGCCCGAGAGGGUCUUGGCUAAUCUUUUGAACCGGCGCCGUGCUUGGGAUUGACCAUUGCAAUUGUUGGUCAUGCAACGAGGAAUGCCUUGUAAACGCGAGUCAUCA